rnacentral:rRNA from 1 species
GGAUCCCAUCAGAACUCCGAAGUUAAGCGUGCUUGGGCGAGAGUAGUACUAGGAUAGGUGUCCUCCGGGUAUGUCCUCGUGUUGCAUUCCCUUUUUCAUUUUUUUUGCUGCACGCGCGAAACCAAUGCGCAUGUCGCGUAAAUAUGGAACGCAUGUGCAGGGUAAAUAUUAACGCAGUUUCGUAUUUCUGACUUUUUGUGGUGAGUUGCAGCUUACGGAUCGAUAUUGACGUGUGUAGGGGCGGCGUUAUGGUGGGAGAGGCACCGCUCUUUGAAAGCGUUCGAAGGCGUGUCAAAACUCAUGGCAACGUGGCGAGGGAGAGGGACGUGUGAAAACUGUGGUAAACAUGGGAACGGUUGUUGAGGUGGAGACAAAGUAGUAUGGUGAAAUAUCCAUCGGCAGCAAGCAAUGUACGGUAGAGUUUGUAGUGGAGCUGGGAGGGGCGAGCAUAAGGGACGAAGGGAAGAAAUAUGUCGGAUGCGAUCAUACCAGCACUAAAGCACC